rnacentral:lncRNA from 1 species
CUUAUGUUGGUAGAAUACCAUUUUCGCCUACUUCAUCUCCCGGUUACAGUCCGUCAUCACCUGGCUAUAGUCCGUCAUCACCUGGAUACAGCCCCACAUCACCUGGAUACAGUCCCACGUCACCCGGGUACAGCCCUACCUCUCCGGCUUACAGCCCUAGCUCGCCAGGUUAUAGCCCAACAAGCCCGUCAUAUUCACCUACCAGUCCAUCGUACUCUUGAUGGGCAAAGGCUUGAUCUCAGAUAUUUAAAGAAAAGUAGCGAUCACCAUUUGGAGCUUGGAUACAAGGUAUUUUUUUUCAGACAAUGACAAUUUUUUUCUUUUAGGGUUUCUCUUUUUUUUUUUAUAAUAGCUCUUAAUGGUGUUGUUUUAGGUGGAGCGUCAUUUGAAUGAUGGGGACUUUGUUCUAUUCAAUCGCCAGCCCAGUCUUCAUAAAAUGUCUAUCAUGGGUCAUAGAAUCAAAAUCAUGCCUUAUUCUACUUUUCGUCUUAACUUGUCAGUUACUUCACCAUAUAAUGCUGAUUUUGAUGGGGAUGAAAUGAAUAUGCAUGUUCCUCAGUCAUUUGAAACCAGAGCAGAGGUGUUGGAGCUGAUGAUGGUGCCUAAAUGCAUCGUGUCACCUCAAUCAAACAGGCCUGUAAUGGGAAUUGUCCAAGAUUCGCUUUUGGGAUGCAGAAAAAUCACAAAGAGAGAUACCUUCAUCACAAAGGUUAUAUUUAGUGAAUUCUUCUCUUGUUUCAGUUUGUUUUAGUGUCAUGGUUCUUGUAAAAGCUGUUUAGAGGUCUGAUAAAAGCUAUUUUUCCAGGAUGUUUUUAUGAACAUUUUGAUGUGGUGGGAAGAUUUUGAUGGGAAAGUUCCUGCUCCUGCAAUAUUAAAGCCAGAGCCAUUGUGGACCGGGAAACAAGUUUUCAAUCUCAUCAUUCCUAAAGCAAUAAAUCUGAUUAGAUAUUCUAGCUGGCACAAUGAGAGUGAAAGGGGGUCCAUAACCCCUGGGGAUACAAUGGUCAGAAUUGAAAAAGGGGAACUACUUACUGGGACACUUUGCAAAAAGACACUUGGAGCAUCUUCUGGAAGUCUCAUUCAUGUCAUCUGGUAUCCUAAUUAGACAGAUUUCUCCUUUAAAUUACCAGCUUAAUCAUAUUGUUAAUGUUAAUUUACGUUUACAACCACUUCUAGAAGGGGGGUCAUGUUGUGUUGAUCAGAACUUUUUUCUUUGAAAUGCUUGUAAAUCCUAAUUGAUGUUGAUAACUAAUUUGAUUAUGUCAUGGAGUACUCACUACUCUCUGACUAUAGUCGUUAACUUCAUGUGACUUUGGAAUGGUUGAUCAGAACUUUAAAUCCCAAGUGAUGUUGUCAAAUAAUUUGAUUAUGUCAUGGAGUACUUUCUGACUAUAGUCGUUAACAUUGUGUGACUUUGGAAGCUGUUUCAGUUCCUUCCCUGUCCACUCACCCUACUGAAUGUCUGUUCGAAUACAGGGAAGAGGUUGGACCGGAUGCAGCUCGUAAAUUUCUAGGUCAUACUCAGUGGCUUGUGAACUAUUGGCUUUUGCAGCAGGCGUUUAGCAUGGGAAUUGGUGAUACAAUUGCUGAUGCGUCAACUAUGGAGGUUAUUAAUCAGACUAUUUCACAAGCUAAGGAGAAAGUGAAGCAACUCAUCAGGGAUGCUCAAGAAAAGAAGUUGGAGGCUGAACCGGGUCGGACUAUGAUGGAUUCAUUUGAAAAUAGAGUGAACCAGGUGCUUACAUUAGGUUGUUUGUGUCAGUGCUAUUUAUAGGCUUUUGCUUUUUACUGGAUCUGAUGUAUUUUUCAUUUGAUAAUUUCAGACAUUGAAUAGAGCUCGUGACGAUGCCGGAAAUAGUGCACAGAAAAGUUUAUCUGAGAGCAAUAAUCUAAAAGCAAUGGUUACAGCCGGUUCCAAAGGAAGUUUUAUCAACAUUUCUCAGAUGACGGCUUGUGUGGGCCAACAAAAUGUCGAGGGUAAGCGAAUUCCAUAUGGGUUCGUAGAUCGGACGUUGCCCCACUUUACAAAAGAUGAUUAUGGGCCUGAAAGUCGUGGCUUUGUGGAGAACUCGUAUCUCCGAGGACUGACCCCACAAGAGUUCUUUUUCCAUGCCAUGGGUGGUAGGGAAGGUCUUAUUGAUACUGCAGUGAAGACUUCUGAAACUGGGUACAUUCAGAGGCGACUUGUGAAGGCUAUGGAGGAUAUCAUGUGUAAAUAUGAUGGGACAGUUAGGAACUCUUUGGGAGAUGUUAUACAAUUUCUAUAUGGCGAAGACGGAAUGGAUGCAGUUUGGAUAGAAACACAGAAGCUGGAUUCCCUAAAAAUGAAGAAAACAGAAUUUGAUAGGGUUUUUCGGCACAACUUUGAUGAUGAAAACUGGAAACCUAAUUACAUGCUUGAAGAGUCUGUAGAAGAUUUGAAAAGCUUCAAAGAGUUUCGUAGUGUGUUUGAGGCGGAACUCCACAAGCUUGAAACUGACAGAUUUCAACUUGCAACAGAGAUAGCCACUACUGGUGACAGUUCUCUGCCACUACCUGUUAACCUUAAGAGGCUUAUCUGGAAUGCUCAAAAGACCUUCAAGGUUGACUUCCGGAGGACUUCUGAUAUUCAUCCUAUGGAAAUUGUGGACGCGAUUGAUAAGCUCCAGGAGAGACUUAAGGUUGUUCCUGGUGAUGAUCUUUUGAGUCAAGAAGCUCAGAAAAAUGCAACUCUUCUGUUCAAUAUUCUGCUUCGUAGCACUUUUGCCAGUAAAAGGGUCCUGGAGGAAUACAGGCUUUCUCGUGAGGCAUUUGAAUGGGUUGUGGGAGAAAUAGAAUCAAGGUUCCUGCAAUCACAGGUAGCCUCUGGGGAGAUGAUUGGUUGUGUAGCAGCACAAUCAAUCGGUGAACCUGCCACCCAAAUGACUCUCAACACCUUUCACUAUGCUGGUGUCAGUGCUAAGAAUGUUACACUUGGUGUUCCAAGGUUACGAGAAAUCAUUAAUGUGGCAAAGAGAAUCAAAACACCUUCUCUGUCUGUGUUCUUGAAACCUGAGGUUGGUAAGACCAAAGAGAGGGCCAAGAAUGUGCAGUGUGCUUUAGAAUAUACAACUCUUAGGAGUGUGACUCAGGCUACAGAGGUGUGGUAUGAUCCUGACCCAAUGGGUACAAUAAUUGAAGAGGAUGUUGACUUUGUGAAGUCCUACUAUGAAAUGCCUGAUGAAGAAGUUGCUCUUGACAAAAUCUCUCCUUGGUUGCUUCGCAUAGAACUUAAUCGUGAAAUGAUGGUGGAUAAGAAGUUGAGUAUGGCUGACAUUGCUGAAAAGAUUAACCUUGAAUUUGAUGAUGAUCUGACCUGCAUAUUUAACGAUGACAAUGCUGAAAAACUUAUUCUUCGUAUCCGUAUUAUGAAUGAUGAAGCCCCCAAAGGAGAGAUUCAGGAUGAAUCAGCUGAAGAUGACGUUUUCUUAAAGAAAAUAGAAGGCAACAUGCUGACUGAAAUGACCUUGCGAGGUAUCCCAGACAUCAACAAAGUUUUUAUAAAAAACACUAAAGUUCAGAAGUUUGAUGAGAAUGAAGGUUUUAAGCCUCAUGAUGAGUGGAUGCUUGAUACCGAAGGUGUCAACCUUUUAGCUGUAAUGUGCCAUGAUGAAGUCGAUGCAACCAGGACCACAAGCAAUCAUUUGAUUGAAGUUAUUGAAGUUCUUGGUAUCGAGGCAGUUCGCCGGGCUCUUCUGGAUGAAUUACGUGUUGUCAUUUCUUUUGAUGGUUCAUAUGUCAAUUACAGGCAUCUGGCCAUUCUUUGUGAUACCAUGACUUACCGCGGUCAUUUGAUGGCAAUUACACGUCAUGGUUUCAACAGGAAUGAUACUGGGCCAAUGAUGAGAUGCUCGUUUGAAGAGACUGUCGAUAUUCUUGUUGAUGCUGCAGUAUAUGCUGAGACUGAUUACUUGAGGGGUGUUACUGAAAAUAUUAUGUUAGGUCAGCUUGCCCCCAUUGGCACUGGAGAAUGUGCCCUGUAUCUGAAUGAUGAGAUGCUGAAGAAUGCUAUUGAGCUGCAGCUACCUAGUUACAUGGAAGGGCUUGAUUUUGGCAUGACGCCUGCUCGUUCACCAAUUUCUGGAACUCCAUAUCAUGAAGGCUUGAUGUCUCCAAGCUAUUUGCUGAGCCCAAAUCUACGGCUGUCACCUACCAAUGAUGCCCAGUUUUCUCCUUAUGUUGGUAGAAUACCAUUUUCGCCUACUUCAUCUCCCGGUUACAGUCCGUCAUCACCUGGCUAUAGUCCGUCAUCACCUGGAUACAGCCCCACAUCACCUGGAUACAGUCCCACGUCACCCGGGUACAGCCCUACCUCUCCGGCUUACAGCCCUAGCUCGCCAGGUUAUAGCCCAACAAGCCCGUCAUAUUCACCUACCAGUCCAUCGUACUCUCCCACAUCUCCGAGCUACAGCCCCACAUCUCCGAGCUACAGCCCCACAUCUCCGAGCUA